rnacentral:lncRNA from 1 species
GUCCUGUUAAAUGUAGAAUAUUCAUUGCAAACUUUAAAGAGUAAUUCCACAAACUUCAAUAAAGAAAAAGAAAAAAAAUCACAUUUGACUUCCAAAACCAAUAGAAGGCAGACUAAAGUUUAGAAUACAGGAAAAAUAAUUGGCAAACAACAGUAGGUUCCAUCAUGACAACGAAUCCAAUGACAAUACAGAAAUUACAUUUGUCUUUAUCAUGAAAAUGAAAAUGCUCAUUCAAAUGAAGUCGUCUUGAUUGCAAGCUUUAAGAGCAGCUCCAACAGCCUUCAAUAAACGCCAAAAUGAAGAAAAAUAAGGAUAUAUUUUAUUUGGGAACAGAAUAUGGAAAUUCGUAAAUGCAGAAAGAAAACAAGCCCAUUCACUGCUAGACAUUGAUAUUCUAGUUGUUACAAUAUAAAACAAAUCUUACUAAGUUUUUUUUUUCUUCUAGUUUUCUAUUUCAAAAGCAAAAAAGUUAUCUUCAAAAAUAGUGAUCAAACAAUUCCUAUAUAUUUACCUUUUCUUCAAAAUUUUGAAAACCAAAUAAAAGAGUAAUAUAGUACAAAUAUAUCGGUUAAAAAAUUGAAAUAUGCCAAAAAGUCUUAUUUAAGAGGAGUAAUUUAUAAAUUAGUCUUUAACAAGUAACAGACGACAUUAAAUGCAGUCACAUGAUGAUUCAAAAAAGAAAGUCAUACAAAUGAUUCAAAAUUUGUAAGAAAAAAUAAAAAUAAGUCACUAGCAACAUCAUAUAACAGUGGAUAAAAAGUAUUUAUUGUAUAUCGCAAUUCUUACUCCCAUGACAUUUUCAUUUAUAUUUUUAUUAGCAGAUGCUUUGCUUCUGCCUUUCCCUAGAGUGUAAUUUUCUUUUUGCUGUUCCUUUUCCUUCAUUUAUAAAAAAAAAGUAAAACGAAAAAUUGACACAUAAGUAAAGUGUAGGUUGUGAAGUGGGUAUGAGUAUAUGGAUACCCAGUGGGUACAAGGAUGAGAAUUAAAAUUGCUACCCACGCGAUAUGGGACUGGGUACAGGUCUGGAAUAUUUUUUAAACACGAGUAUAGGGAUGGAUACUAUAGAACCCUACCUAAAUCCUACUCAUUGCUAUCUCUACUCAGAGGUUCACCUUUCAAGACGAAUUGCAUAAACUAAAACCUGGAAAUCUGAACAAUACAAAAGAAGCAUCAAAAUUGUAUAUUUACUCAAAGACACAUCAACU